rnacentral:lncRNA from 1 species
UCCCAGCUGGGGGGAGGCCCACGAAGGCCCAGGGGCUUAAAACCAAGGAGCACAAGGUCAUCUCCUGGUAUGGACUCUGCCUUCUCCUGGGGUUUGUGUCUCACCUACACUGGAGCCCCAGGAGCUGGGAGCCACAUGUGUGUCUUUCUGUGGAGCUUCUGUCUUCUGUCUCUCUCUCUCUUUCCUCUCCUUCUAAUGCUCUUUAUAUGGAACAUUUGUGGGUACAUGAACAACUUCAGUGUUUAGGGGUUUCCAGGCUAAAUGGGCUGAGGGAAUGAAGUUACAGCUGUGACAAAUGAUGUAAGUUGGAUUUGUAUUAAAUGUUUUUCCAAAGUUUCUUGUUCUUUUGUACUUUGCCAGUAAAAUUUUGGGGGUCCGAAAUGGGCGCUGAGGGGCACUUGGGGGUCCCGGAGGGUCUGGGGGACACUGAUGAGACAGAUGGGGGCGGUACCGGGGUUCUGUGGAGCGCGGGGCAUGACGGGCAUUGUAGUCCCGGCUUUAAUGGGGCUCUAUGGGGCCGCAGAGCAUGACGGGAGUUGUAGGCAAAAGAAAAGAUGGCGCAGACCCCAGGCCCCGCCCCCAAAGCCAUGAUCCCGGCGCUGAUUGGUUGGGGCUGUGAUGGGCGGACCCUCUGCAAAUGGGAGGCAGUGGGGGCGGGAAGAGCCCAUUCAACCCCUCCAGUCCCUCCCAGUACAGCCCAGUUCAUCCCCGGUACAGCCCAGUACAGCCCCAGUGCCCCUCCAGUCCCUCCCAAUACACCUGAGUUCAUUCCCAGGCCCUUCCAGUUCCCCCCAGUUCCAUCCAUAUCCCGCUCCAGUGUCCCCCAGUCUUCCCCACAGCGUUCCUGCCCAUUGCGGGGCAGCGGCGCAGACGGAAUGUCCUGCGGCCCAAACCUCCUGCUCCUGCCACACAGCGCCAGCCUUCUCCCCUCCUCCUCCUCUCCCAGCACAGCACAAAUUCCAGCUCGGAGGAGGCUUCCCCAGAGAGGGCUCCGGCUCCUGUCUCAGCCUGAGCGUCCCUGCAGAGGAACAGGGCAUCCUUCAGGAACCCUGUCCUACAGCCCACCAGAGGGGAUCCACCAGCAAUGCUACCACGGCGAGGCAGCGACGAUCUGGUCCCUGGGCCUCCUGCUGCACCACCUGGUCAGGGGGAAGCACCCGUUCAGGAGGGGCCAGGAGAUAUCUGGGGGCAGAUCUUGUUCCCAGGACAGCUCUAUCAAGGUGGAUCCUCAUCUCUGGCCUCGGGGGCAGUACCAGUGCUGGGAGACAGCAGCAGCUCAUGCGCAUCCCGCUCUGGCAGCUGCUGAGGAGGUGGCACAUGUCCUGCUCUCCUGCUCUCCUCCAAACAGAGAAUCCAUGGGGAAGUUUAGGCCCAGCUCUGGGCACACCCAGCACGGCCUGGGCACGGGAACAGAGGGCAAUUUCUCCAACUGACUGGUGAUUGCUGGUUUCUCUCCCCAGAGUGCCAGAAUGUCAUUAAGAGGUGUUUGUCCAUUCAGCCCUUGGACAGGCCAUCCUUAGAAGAGAUUUUCCAUGAUCCUUGGGCUGUUCUGUGUUCCUCUGCCCUAGAAGAUGGGAGAGAUCCACAUGCACAUUUGGAUCCAGGAGCCUGGCAGGUAACAGCUCCACACAUCUCUUGGCACUCAGUGGCAAAGCCAACCAGACAGGUUUUGUCCUGCCUGUAGCUCUGAGCAGGGGUCAGCAGAAGGGAACACGCAGCUCUUGGGCUGCAGCUGAGCUGGAGACCUGGUGUGGCAAGCACUGGGGCCCACCAUCCCCCUGGUUUUGCUUGCCAUGGUUCAUGGAUGGUGGGGCCCUGAGCAGAGCCCUGACAGCCUGGUCUGGCCCAGGGAAGGAGAAGGAGCCCCUGGAGAAGAUGUCCCAGGUCGGGCUGCUGCUGCUGGGGACAGUGAGGAGAACACCAAGGAUGACAACCUCUUGCUUCACCUGGUCUCUGGCAUGCUGAAGAUGAUAGACUUUGAUUCUGACAUCUCCUUCAAAGUCAGGUUCCACAGGGAAUUUGCAGAUGAGUCCACAUGCAGGGGGAUGCUCCCAGAUUUCGGCAUUGCUCAGCCUGGCUGGGAACCAAAGGUUCCCCCUUUGCUGGGGUGGAUGCAGCUGAUCCUUCAGUCGGCUGCAGGCUGCUUCUGGCAGGGCUGGGGACAUGGGCUGGUGUGGGUACGAAAUGGGAGUGGGCUCCUGGCACUGCCAACAGCCCCCAGCACCCACCAUGCCCUGGGCUGGGGCUGGGCUGGGGCAGCCAGCCCGACACAAACAAACCCCCAUGGUGGGAACAGAGGUGGGACUCCAGACCCUGUGCAGGGGCUGCUUUGCUUUGCAGGCAAGGAAGGGCUUGGGCUGCUCCACUGCCCUUGUUUGCUUUGGGAUCACCAUGGGGGCAGUGCAGGGGAAGAGAGAAAGCCUGGGAUUAUUC